UGAUGGCGGCCGUGACGUUGGACGAGUCCGGGGGCGGCCUCCAGACACCCGGAGGAAGCCUCACCCUCGUCUGCAAGGCCUCCGGAUUCACCUUCAGCAGUUUCUGUAUGGGUUGGAUACGACAGGCACCCGGCAAGGGGCUGGAGUGGGUCGCUGCUAUUAGCAGCUCUGGUAGCAGCACAUGGUACGCAUCGGCGGUGAAGGGCCGUGCCACCAUCUCGAGGGACAACGGGCAGAGCACAGUGAAGCUGCAGCUGAACAGCCUCAAGGCUGAGGACAGCGCCACCUACUACUGCACGAAAGCUGCUGGUGGUGGUGGUGGUUGGUGUAAUGAUUAUCGCAUCGAUCAGCCCAGAUGGUGA